GGUGUAACACGGCUACGGUUUAACCGUAAAGGUUCAAAGUCCUUGUAAACUGUGGAUGACACC
ncrna:unclassified sequences type-P1 twister ribozyme